UCAAAUCCUCUCAUCUUCUCUCUUCUAUCAACCUAACCCUAGACUCUGUCAAUCGCCUCCCUUCUCCGGUCAUCUCCGGCGACCACCUUUCAACCCCAAGCCUCUAGUGGUUUCCCCCUCGCCUUGCUCAUCAUCUUUGAGGCCUUCAAGGGUCAUGGGCCAUGCUGAUUUGGAUCUGCGGUUUCUGUUUCUGUUGUUCAUGGCUUCUUCGGCGGGAAAAAUCACACCAUAUAUAUUACGAUCUUUGAAGUUUAUAACAGGUUUUUCCGUUUCUGCUUAGGUUUCCUUUGAAACCCUAACUCUCGUUUGAAUCUCUUGGAUUCGUGCUAUUUUUAACACUUUAAGUCUAUUUCUUUCUAUAUUUUACAUUAUUCUUAAAUUUUUUCUGAAAAAUCCUCAACUUUAAACUGUUUUACUUUCUGUAAGAUUCGGGUUCCGCAGAGUUUCUUCUACACUUGUUUUAACCGACUUUUUCUUUAUGUUUAAACCUCUUUCAUCGCAUAUCUUGGCUGAUUAUGUGUUCUUAAUGCCUUUUCAACCUGACUCUAUUAAAAGCCCUAGUUUCUUAUAUCUUCUUUAUUUUGUUCUGUGUGUUAUCAUGACUACUUGAUUUUGUUAAGUUUUUGUUGGUUACCAUGCUUCGAAUAGGUUUUCUACUGAGUCUUUAGCCUACUUGUAUCACCUUUGUAUGAUUGUUAUUCAUAUUGAUUUGUUCAUCUCUUGCUUCUUUCUGUUGAUAUGGCUGACCUUGCAUGUUUGUUGUGCCUGUUCGUUUUUCUCUAUUUAUAUGUUGCAAUAUAGAUUCGUGACCCUCUCUUGAUUUGAUUCUGAUUUCCUUACUAAUGGUUUGAUUAAAAGAUUUCCUUUUAAAGCCCUUAAACUUUUACCUUGUCUGUUUAAGUUGACUGAUUACAUUACCUUAUUUGCUAUGAGACUUCAUUUUUUUACUGAGUCGUGUCCUUAAUUGAGGUUUUCUAAAUUUAGUCCUAGUUGACUACUCUAUGCUUACUCAACCUUGAUCCCUUCCUUAUUUAGUCAUGUACUGAUUUCUCUUCUUGCCUUAUAUGAUACUGAAUCUUCCCAUUUGAUUUGAUUCCCUUAACUUAAGGGAGUACUUCCUUGAUUUUUUAACUGAUUGAUUCUGAGUUCCUCAAUUAUUAUGCUACUAUAAUUCUUACCUUGUAUUACUACCUAUUUUCAACUAUAAGUACUCUAAGUCUUUCAUUAACAUACACACGAACACUUGGGGUUCAGUAACUAUCUCUCUUACUAAAAAAUCUCUGCUUUCUCUUGUGCUAUUUGCCACUGUUAGCCGGCUGCAAGCCAACGCUAAUCAUUUGUGCUCUCUUGUUCUCUCAUUCUGCUUAUUUUUCUCUUCACUAGUAUGUCCUAGUUUCAAUUUUAAGUUUCAACAACAACAUGCUUCUCUUAUUGUUUCAGUUUUUCCUAUUUCUAGUUUGUUUCUACUUGUGGUUCUGUUGUGAAACUUGUAGCUAAAAGUACAUUACCCGUAUGAUAUUAUGUCUUCCCCUUCCUUUAGAUUAGUCCAUUCCCCUUAAUGUGUGUUUCUAAGCAUGCCUUACCAAUAUUCUUUUACCCAAUGUUUACUUACAAUCUUAUGAGUCCCCAAACCCCUAUCACCCCUCUAUGUGCUUGUGAACUUCAUGACUGUUUUGUGACUAUGCAGUAUCAGCUGUUUUUGAGCAUGUCUAAACUAGUCCUAAGACCUUUGCUGGGUUACAUAUGGCCAGCCAAAUGUUCUAUGUGUCCCAAACCCCUGACCCAUGUGUGACCACUGAAUUCAUUUACUUCUGUAAACUAG
rnacentral:lncRNA from 1 species